UUAGAAAAGAUUUUUCAUAUGUCUUACUCGCCCGUACCGUAAACCGACACAGGUGGGUGAGUGUAAAUGCACUAAGGCGCGCGAGAGAGACCUCUCUAAGGAACUCGGCACAUUAGCCUCGUAACUUCGGGAAAAGAGGUGCUCACUUCGGUGAGCCACAGUAAAUUGCGUUUAGCGACUGUUUAACAAAAACACAGCACUCUGCUAAGUCGUUAAGACGACGUAUAGGGUGUGACACGUGACCAAUGCGGAAAGAUUAAGGCAUUUUGUUAGCCGCAAGGCGAAGCUCGGUGCCAAAGUCCCCGUGAAUGUCGGCCGUAACUAUAACGGUCCUAAGGUAGCGAAAUUCCUUGUCGGGUAAGUUCCGACCUGCACGAAUCGUGUAACGACUGAACGACUGUCUCGGAGAGGAUCUCGGCGAAACUGUAACUGCGGUGAAGAUGCCGCAUGCCCGCAGUAGGACGGAAAGACCCUAUGCACCUUUACUGUAAGCUGGUAUUGUGUUCUGAUUAAUAAUGCGUAGCGUAGGUGGGAGGCUUUGAAGUGAGUGCUUCGGUGCUCAUGGAGCCGCAAUGUGAAACACCACUCUUUGCUAAUUAGGAUUCUAACCUCGAUUCCUGUCAACCAGGCGAGGGACAGUGCUUGCGGGUCAGUUUGACUGGGGCGGUUUCCUCCCAAAGAGUAACGGAGGAGCGCGAAGCUUGGCUCAGCACGGUUGGCAACCGUGCGUCGAGCGUAUGGGUAUAAGCCAGGUUAACUGUGAGACCUACAAGUCGAGCAGAUGCGAAAGCAGGCCCAAAUGAUCCGAUGGUUUAAUGUGGAAUCGCCAUCGCUCAACGGACAAAAGGUACGCUAGGGAUAACAGGCUGAUCGGUUCCAAGAGUUCACAUCGACGAACCGGUUUGGCACCUGAUGUCGGCUCAUCGCAUCCUGGGGCUGGAGAAGGUCCCAAGGGUCCGGCUGUUCGCCGGUUAAAGCGGUACGCGAGCUGGGUUCAGAACGUCGUGAGACAGUUCGGUCCUUAUCCACUGUGGGCGCAGGAAUCUUGAGGGGUUCAUUCUCUAGUACGAGAGGACCGAGAAUGACGCACUUCUGGUGUGGCAGUUGUUCCAUCAGGGGCAUCGCUGCGUAGCCAUGUGCGGAAGAGAUAAGCGCUGAAAGCAUCUAAGUGCCAAGCUCAUCCCAAGAUAUGGAUUCCCGGACGCAAGUCCCUAAAGACCCCCGGCAGACUACCGGGUUGAUAGGUCAGGCAUGUAAGCGUCGCGAGAUGUUUAGUGGACUGAUACUAAUUGGUCGUGCGGCUUGAUCGC
rnacentral:rRNA from 1 species